rnacentral:rRNA from 1 species
UACAGAGGUGGCAAGCGUUGUUCGGAAUUACUGGGCGUAAAGGGCGCGUAGGCGGUCUUGUAAGUCUUGUGUGAAAUCCCUCGGCUCAACUGAGGAACUGCACGGGAUACUGCGAGACUUGAGUUCGGGAGAGGGAAGCGGAAUUCCGGGUGUAGCGGUGAAAUGCGUAGAUAUCAGGAGGAACACCGGUGGCGAAGGCGGGUCUCUGGGCAACAACUGACGCUGAGGAGCGAAAGCGUGGGGAGCGAACAGG